rnacentral:lncRNA from 1 species
CUUCAGUGAUCCAUUAUGUGGAUGUGAAUUUUUGUCCCUAAGAAAUUAGGUGAACCUAAUUCUCUAUUAAAAUUUUAGUAUGCUUAGGCAAAUCAGAAUUGUGUUUGUUGUUUUUUAGCCUCUAAAGAAUGUCAUGUUUUAUGAACUAGCUAUAAAGUAAAAAGCUGUAUUGAUUUUUAAACAUUUUAAGAUAUAAAACAUUUCAGAGUAUCCUAAAGAAUAAAGUGCAAUAUUAAAGUAUUAAUCAUUAUUUUUGGCAUCAGACAUUUCUAAAAGUGGGAUUUUUUUUGUGCAUCUGACAUUUCCUUGAAUAUACCUACACUAUUUUUUACCAGGGGGAAUCCAACAUUAGUAAAUAGCAUAGCCAUGGAAUUCUUGUUGCUAGGAGCUGAACUUUUUAUCUGAGUACAGAAAGCUCUGAACUUAAAACCUGGAGAGAGUAAUAUAAGUAAACAUGAUUGAAAUUAAUUUUUCUCAUAUAAUCAUUUUAAAUAUUUUUCCUGAAAGUGUAUAAACAGACAUGAGGUUUACUCUAUGAAUAACAUGCAUACUAUGAACUAUAUAUCUUCUUUUUUAAAAAUUUUAUAUCUUCUCUUUAGUUAUACCUGACAGUUGAGUAUAUUUUGACAUAUUCAUACAAACACGAAGUAUGUCUUAUUUAGGAUCUCAGUCUUGUGGAUGUACAUGAUGUGGAGAUUCACUGUGAUGUAUUCAUACGUGUACAUAGGAAAGUCACGUUAGAUCCAUUCUCUGCCCCCUCUUGUGUGUAGCAUUCACAUAUCAGAAAGAAUAUUCAACCUUUGGUUUGGGGGGACUAACUUAUUUCACUUAGUAUGAUAGUCUCCAGAUUCAUCCAUUUACUGGCCAAUGUCAUAAAGUUUUUCUUUUUUAUGGCUGAGUAAUAUUUCAUUGUGGGUAUAUAUACCACAUUUUCUUUAUCAAUUAAUCAUUGAAGGGCACCUAUGUUGGUUCUAUAGCUUAGCUAUUAUGAAUUGAGCUGCUAUAAACAUUGCUGGUGGGACUGAAAAUUGGUGCAACCAUUCUGGAAAGCAGUAUGCAGAUACCUCAAAAAGCAAGGAAUGAAACCACAUUAUUCCUGGUUAUACCACUCCUAGGUAUAAUCCAAGGGAGUUAAAAUCAGUGACACAGCCACAUCAAUGUUUAUAGCAGCUCAAUUCACAUCUUUUUUGAGUAAGCACAAAUCAGUCAAGAUGUGUUAAAUUAUCAAGCAGUUGUGAUUCACAGUAGAGAUUACCAAAGAACGCUUUCCAGGAUAGGAAGAAGUGCCAGGGGUGAAGAUACUGACGAUGAGGUGGAGGUGACAGCUUUCAGAGCCAAGAGUAGAGGGCGGGCGUCUUACAGUAGCACACUGGCUCCUAAUCAUUGCAGCUUCAUGACCCUGUGUUUGGUGGUUUGAAAGGCGUUUAUUCCCCUACAAAGUCAUUCAUUAAUAGUUUAUCUCCCCACUAAAAAAAAUAAAAAAAAAAAAUCACCUCUUACCAUCAGUUAGCACUUUUGAUCAGCAAUAUGACUGAUAUUCUCAUGCUGAGUCGAUUCAUGAUUCUAGCUGAAGCAAAUAAAAUUGACAUAUUAUUCUGACUUUACCAUAGGUACAUGAAUAAUCUCAUUUAACUUUGCAAUAACCCCCAAAUUAUUGCCAUGGUCAAUAUCCAGGCGCUCUCCCCCUAUAUUCUCUCCUAGGAAUUUUAUAAUUUCUGAUCUUAUAUUUAUGUCUUUUAUUCAUUUUGAGUUGACAUUUGUGCAUGAUGUAAGAAAAGGGACCAAUUUCAUUGUUUUGCAGAUGGAAAUCUAGUUUUCCUAGCAACAUUUAUUGAAGAUUGUCUUUCCCCCAUUGCGUCUUAUUGGUGCCCAUAGUUAACCACAUAUGUUUGUAUUUAUUUCUGGGCUCCCUAUUCUAUUCCUCUGGUCUAUGUGUCUGUUUUUAUGCUAGAACUAUACUGUUUUAUUACUACCAUUUUGUAAUGUAAUUCUAAAUCAGAAAGUAUAAUCCUCCAAUUUUGUUUUUUCU